ensembl:snRNA U6 U6 spliceosomal RNA
GUCGUUUAAAAAUGUCAGCACAUGUACUAAAACUGGAAUGAUUCAGAAAAGAUCAAUAUGGCCCCCAGGUAAGGAUGGCAUGCAAAUUUGCAAAGCGUUCCAUAUAUUU